UACGUAGGGGGCAAGCGUUAUCCGGAAUUACUGGGUGUAAAGGGUGCGUAGGUGGUAUGGCAAGUCAGAAGUGAAAACCCAGGGCUUAACUCUGGGACUGCUUUUGAAACUGUCAGACUGGAGUGCAGGAGAGGUAAGCGGAAUUCCUAGUGUAGCGGUGAAAUGCGUAGAUAUUAGGAGGAACAUCAGUGGCGAAGGCGGCUUACUGGACUGAAACUGACACUGAGGCACGAAAGCGUGGGGAGCAAACA
rnacentral:rRNA from 1 species